UUGUUAGGGUUAGUGCUUCUAGUGAUGUCUUUUGAUCUUAUUUCUUUAUAUUUAGCAAUUGAGAUGC
rnacentral:tRNA from 1 species